CAUUAGAUAACUGAAAGCAAGUAUUGGUCUCUUAAACCACCUCAUGGUAAUUUAGCGCUUACCUCUAAUGA
rnacentral:tRNA from 1 species